GAUGAGAGAUGGUAUUCUAGGGCCUGAAGAAAUGAGCCCUACCUGCAGCAUCUUUGCAGAGGCCAGGGAUACUGACAUCAGUGUGCCAAACACCUUGUAAAGGGAAGUUUCUACAGCUACUGAGCAGCUGCUCAUUUUCUUGCUACGAGAUUUCUACAAGCCAAAAGGAUGGUUUCAGGGAAGUUCACUGAUGCGAUCUGAGAGUUUGCAGGCUGCUUCCUUUGCAUCCCAACAUUACCAUCACCAUCCUGAUCCUUGACACUGUGUAACUCGGCUAGGAGAGGAUACACAGAGAUUUGGGAAAAGGAGAUAUUUGUAUCACAGUUCCUGAAAAUCCAUCCCUUGUUAGGAGCUCUGGCAGGACCAGCAACAGUUUAUUCUGUGAAACUGAUGCUGUAUUUCUCAUGCUCUCCCUGGCUGUGCUGCAUUCGCUCUGCCUUGAGCCUGUGGGUCCUUGAUGUGUCUCAGGCUCUUUCUGGGGAUAAACACCUGUAAUAAACCACGUCCCGACCUGUUGCACUUUUGUGGCUCCUUGAGCAGGCUGCAGCUCCCUGCAGCAUAUUGUGGCACCCUGCUGCUGCUUGACCAGAAAGAGAAAAUAAGUCAGUGUGCAAAGGAACGGAGCUGGUUUGGGGAAUGGAAGGGUUAUUUGGGGGC
ensembl:lncRNA